UAACCCCCUCUCUCUCUCUCUCUCCUCCCGGCAGUGAGGAACGAAUCAGAAACGGGGCCAAGAAGCUGCUGAAAGGCCGACAGGGCAGCACCCAGGGGAGGCUGGACGAUUUCUUUAAGGUCACAGGGUCGCUGACCUCCGCCAAGCGCAAGGAACCUGAGCCCAAAGGGUCGGCGAAGAAGAAAGCGAAAUCCGGCGGCAAGUUCCAAAGGGGGAAAUGAGUCAGGGGGCGGGAGUCCGGACGGUUAAUCCUGGGGGCUGGCCCCCUCCCACCAGCCUCACCCCACUCCUUCCCCCCAACCCCCCCCCCCCAACCAAACACCCCAGCGAGAGGCAGCAGGAGACGUGGCGUGGGGGGGGCGUUGUCACCGAGAACCCAAAGCGCGGACUCCAUCGCUGAUGGGAAGAGAGAGGAGGGACGUCCCUCGAGGAACCGUUACCCCCCCUCACCCCUCCCCCCAGAGUAUCCGCGAGACCCCCCUCCCCCGACCUCCAAUCGCUACCCCUCUACCCCCAGUGAUGGGACAAGGCAGUCUCAAUCGAACUGGAGUCCAACACGCAGGGUCCAGAGCGCAAGGGCCAUGUUCCCGGCCUGUCACGUUCAACCGGACUGGGGAGCGAGGUUUGUAAAUGGGCUGAAUUAUUUCCUCUAUUUUUUUAAUAAAUUCCGCAAUUUUGCUUCGAAUAAAGACUCUCCCUUCCGGGGGGGAGGGAUUUUCCGUU